rnacentral:lncRNA from 10 species
AGGAAGAAAUUCAGGGGCUCCCCGCCCCCGCCACAGUCCUCUUCCCCCUCCCCAGCUGCAACUCGGCAGCCGUUCGUCAAAGACCCUGUUGUCACCGAGACACUGGGACCUUGUCUCAUCCUUGGAACCACUCGUAAAUCUUAGGUCAGGCAGCCGGCAGCCUUCGGGGACCACAGUCCCCCCAAAGCUUUAGGAAGCCAGUUACUACAUCCGGAAAGAUUCGUGCUUCAGAACGCAAGCCAGGGAGAAUAAUCACAGAAACGCAAUGCGAAUGUCGUGCCUCUCAGAAAUUCUUAGCCUGAAAUACCGUCCCCACCCCCCAACCCGGCCAGGCGACAGUCCUGUCAUCCUAACACCGCAGAGGCUCCAAGCGCUGGGAGUCGUGUGCCCGCGGCGCUCGCCACUGAGGCCGGUUGGAAGAUUCUAGGGUGCCCCUUCCCAGGUUCCAGCAGGCACUCCGGGAUGUUCUAGAGUCAGGCCAGGGAUUCAACAGCGAACCUGACCGAAACUCAAACCUCAGCACAAGAACUUUGAUGGGGGAAGUGCCCAGACUCCAAUACUCUCGACCUUGGCAUUUAGUAGUUUCUUCUUUGAACUGGAAAGAUCAAAUAAUGCACAGUAAAAUCUCAUGAUAAGGGUUCCACCAAGAAUUCGGGAUUUGUGUUAAUUCAUAAGGCAGAAGUGGCCCCUGUGCUAUCCAUGAAGAGUUUCUGUAUUUCUCUGCAAGGUCACAGGUAGGCUUUUUAACCAAUUAAAGAAAAACUCCAACAUUUAGAGGGCCCAUUAUUAUAAUAAUUCCUGUAUUUGUUUGCUGUCUGGCACAUAAAAACGUGCUUCACUUGCAUAUAUUAAUGAAUUUUCACCUCCUAGCCCCUGGCUAACCCAUUUUACAGCUGAAAGGACUAAAGCAACAGAUGCCCAAAGUAACUCACCUAGCAACAAGUCUUGGGAUUCUGAGAUGAGGUUCUUUCUCCCACACACACAGGCAGGCUGGCUUCUUGGG